rnacentral:rRNA from 1 species
GAUGAACGCUGGCGGCGUGCCUAAUACAUGCAAGUCGAGCGAACAGACGAGGAGCUUGCUCCUCUGACGUUAGCGGCGGACGGGUGAGUAACACGUGGAUAACCUACCUAUAAGACUGGGAUAACUUCGGGAAACCGGAGCUAAUACCAGAUAAUAUAUUGAACCGCAUGGUUCAAUAGUGAAAGACGGAUUUGCUGUCACUUAUAGAUGGAUCCGCGCCGCAUUAGCUAGUUGGUAAGGUAACGGCUUACCAAGGCAACGAUGCGUAGCCGACCUGAGAGGGUGAUCGGCCACACUGGAACUGAGACACGGUCCAGACUCCUACGGGAGGCAGCAGUAGGGAAUCUUCCGCAAUGGGCGAAAGCCUGACGGAGCAACGCCGCGUGAGUGAUGAAGGUCUUCGGAUCGUAAAACUCUGUUAUUAGGGAAGAACAAAUGUGUAAGUAACUAUGCACGUCUUGACGGUACCUAAUCAGAAAGCCACGGCUAACUACGUG